GAUGAACGCUGGCGGCGUGCCUAAUACAUGCAAGUCGAGCGAAGAGAUGAGGAGCUUUGUCCUCUGACGUUAUAGGCGGAAGGGGGAGUAACACGUGGAAAACCUACCUAUAAGAGUGGGAGAACACCGGGAAAAAGGAGCGAAUACAGGAUAAAAGAUUGAACCGCAUGGUUCAAGAGUGAAAGACGGUGUUGCUUUCACUUAUGGAUGGAUCCGCGCCGGAUUAGCUAGUUGGUAAGGUAACGGGUUACCAAGGCAACGAUGAGGAGCCGACCUGGGAGGGUGACCGGCCACACUGGACCUGAGCCACGGUCCAGACUCCUACGGGAGGCAGCAGUAGGGAAUCUUCCGCAAUGGGCGAAAGCCUGCCGGAGCACCGCCGCGUGAGUGAUGAAGGUCUUCGGUUCGUAAACCUCUGUUAUUAGGGAAGAACAACUGUGUACGUAACUAUGCACGUAUUGACGGUACCUAAUCAGAAAGCCACGGCUAACUACGUG
rnacentral:rRNA from 1 species